GACGGAAGGUGCAAGCGUUGCUCGGAAUCACUGGGCGUAAAGGGUGCGUAGGCGGCCGUGCAAGUCUGGCGUGAAAGCCCCGGGCUCAGCCCGGGAAGUGCGCUCGAAACUGCGCGGCUCGAGUGCCGGAGGGGAGAGUGGAAUUCCUGGUGUAGAGGUGAAAUUCGUAGAUAUCAGGAGGAACACCAGUGGCGAAGGCGGCUUCCUGGACACCAACUGACGCUGAGACGCGAAAGCGUGGGGAGCAAACAGG
rnacentral:rRNA from 1 species